rnacentral:tRNA from 1 species
GGCGAUGUAGCUCAGUGACACAGCGCCUGCCUGGGAAGCAUGAGGUCCUGAGUUCGAUCCUCAGUACCA